UUUGACAUGUGUGGGUGAUUUGCCUGGAUGUGUGUCUCUGUACCAUUGCAUGUGGUUCCUAAAGAGGCCAGAAGAGGGCAUUAGAUCUCCUGGAACUAGAGUUACAGAUGGUUGUGAGCUGCCAUGUGGGUGCUGGGAAUUAAACUCAGACCUUCUGGAAGAGCAGCCUGCAUGCACUCUUAACCACUAGGCCAUUUCUCCAGCCCUGGGAAUAGCAGCUGUUGUUACAAAGCUCCAGGCCUUGCUGGGUUAUAAUUCUUCAGGUUGAGGACUGGGUAGGUGCUUUGUUUUAAUGUGAAUCACAGCCUUCAUUAAUAGCCUUCUUUGUUUGGUUGGUUGUUUAUUUAUUCAUUUGUUUGUCAGCUUACUUAUUUACUUAUUUAUUUUGGCUGCUUGGUAGCUAAGAAAAAUUGUUUAUUGCUAAUAUAAUAUUAAUAUACAAUAAAAUUAUAUAUUGCUAAUAUAAUCUAUAUUAGUUAUGUCAUCCUUAUUUUAAGACUAGCUGUCAUAUGAGUCUGAGUGUACCUCACCUUGUUAAUGUAAAAAGGAAACAAAUUGAAUAUUUAAAUGAAAUUUUUAUUAUUUAAUAGAUUCUCAGGUACAUUGAUUUCCAAUUGAGUUUAUACUUUUUUUCCCUCUCUAUAAACAAAACCAUAUUUCUGCAAGACAUCUCAUUGGGAAAAUGCAUACUUUUACUAUUUGAUGAUUCAGAGAAUGAGUUUUGACAUGGCAUGGUGGCAUAUACCUAUAAUCCUAGUUCUUGGGAGAUGGAGGGGGAUAGCCUUAUAGAAGCUCAGGGUCAUCCUGACCACUUGGCAGGUUCAUGGCCAGCCUGGGCUACAUAAAAGACCAUGUCUCCAAAUGAAACAAAACCAGAAACCAAAUAUUUGGUAAGAAAACCAUUCUCUUUUCCCAGGUUAAACCAAAGCUCUUCUUUAUAACAAUUACCAGUCAAACAUGUACUGUUACUGCGUGCCAGCUAGUACACGCAGUAACAGGGAAGGAAGCCUGACCCUGAAAUGUGAGGAUCCCCCCCCCACUUGCAGUCUGCACUUUUCUUUUAACAGAGCAGAACUCUGACACUGUGGUCUAGCCCUUCACAUCCCUAGAUUUCUGUUUCUUUAUAGGAAGGACUAGAGAAAUCACUGCUGUCUUUAUCUUAAUAUACUCGGUAUCUGACGGGGACAUCAUUUUGAUAGGUUUUUUUUUUUUUCAUUUAGAUUUUCUUUUCUCUGAGUAUAAUUAUUUCCUCAUAUUCCAAGGUUGUAAAAAGUCCUAAUCAAAAUAAAUGUUAUUCAUAUAGCAUUUGUUAUGUUAAUCUGUGCUGUUAACCUAGGCCUCUGCAUCUGGUCUGUCUCACUGGGAGCUUUGUUCUGUCUCAGGAUAGUUUCUCUCAGUAACUGGGAUGCCUCACUGAGUGGUAUUGCCUUCAGUUGCUCCAUCAUAUCCACAAUAGAGUUAAACUCCUUAGUGACAUGCUCAAGGUCCUCUCCGUCUGACCCCACCCUUUUUUCUGGCCUUCAUCUCUCCCUGCCUUUGCAUCUCUUCCUCCUUUCAGAUGCACAGCCCCCAGCUUACUCCCCUAGAGAUGUAUGUGGUGGCCCACUUGUCUGUGCAUUGUGAGGCCUUCGUUCUGAGUCCUUCACCUAACUUCUGUCUGAUCACCCCACCCAUCCAUCUUCAUCUAGAUUGGCUAAUUAGCCUUAUCAGAAGCUUUCCAGAGCCAUAGCACCCAGGGGUCCCAUUGUCUCCCCAACUAAGUGGAUAGAGAUGUUUUUCUUUCCUCCACGAGGGAGCUCUCUGAAAGCAGGGAUUCUAUAAUAGUUCUCUGUGAGCCACACGGAGGACAUCUGCUGAUUCAGGAGGAUUUUCUCUUUUGUAAGGAAAUGGAGAGAAAAACACUUAUGGACCGAUUGUUGUAUUUUAUUUUCCCUUCUAUCUUCAAAAGAAUUAUGCUGAAUAGCACCUCUAACUUCAUUAAGUUAUUUACAAAAUGUUUAACCUCCCACUGAAAGGAUCACUGGUGCUCAAACGUAGUAUAAUUUGUAAGAAAGGCCCUCUUCGUCUAUUUAAAGCCUUCCAUAAUGGGCUGGCAGGAUCUCUCAGCGAGGACUGGCACCUGCUACCAAGCUUGACAGCCUGGGUUCUACCCCAAGCUCCACAUGGUAGAACAGACACCCCUGACCUCCACACCCACAUUAUGACACACUCAUGCCCUACCACACACACAUUAGACACAUAAAAUU
rnacentral:lncRNA from 1 species